AACGUUACUUACAGGAUGGACCCACUACAAACUUUCACUAUCUUCUGCGCAGCAGCCUCUUCUUCCCCGAUCCCGACUCCAACUCUCCCUCUCUCCUUCGCCUCGGCGGCACGGCAGCCUGCUUCUUCACCGGGGUGGCUGCUUCUUCACCGGCGCGGCGGCCUGCUUCUUCACCCGCGCGGCGGCCUACUUCUUCGACGACGCGGAGGCCUGCGGCGGACGCGACGCGGCGGCCUUCCGGGCGGUCGGAUCCGCGGACGAACGGAUCUCCGGCGCCUGUCAGAUCUUCGAACGCGGCGCGGUGGCCUACCGGGCGGACGGAUCCACGGAUGAACGGAUCUCCGGCGUCACGGCUUGCUUCUUCACCGGCGCCGCGGCCUGAUUCUUCGACGGCACAGCGGCCUGCCGGUCUUCUCCAGGCGGGCGGACGCGGCAGCCUGCCGGUCUUCUCCAGGCGGGCAGACGCGGCAGCCUGCCGGUCUUCUCCAGAGCUCGGAUUCCAAAUCGGUGAUUACUUGAGCGUUGCAAUCAUGUAGAUGGUGCCCGCACCUGAUGUAAUUGAUGUAAUGUCAAAAGGGCUCUGGUUGCAACAGUAAGGCAUGAUUCUCUGUUAGCACUAGGAACUGGAACCACAAUUGGUCUGUAAUACUGGUAGUUUCAAAUUUACCUAAACACUUCAAACCAGAAUGGUCUGUAAUGUCAAAAGGGAUCGGGUUCCUAUGAAGUCAAACACAGGAAAGUUUGCAUCUUGGAGCCAGACCAGUUGGGCAAAUUUUGUUCGGUACCCAAUUUUGUUUCGCCAUUUCUAAAA